GUGGAGCAGAGAGCACCCUGGGCAUUUGGGCCUAGGGUGGCUGCUGCUGUGCUGUGCAGCCUGGCUUGCCCUCUCUGAGCCUAUUUUCCCAUGUGCAACAUAAGGCAGGGUCGAUGUGACCUCCCGGCUCUGACGUUCUGUGACUUGAUAACCAUUUUCUAAGGAAGGAAAGGGGAUCCAUUGCUCCUAGGCCGCACGGAUGCCUUGUUCAUCAGCUGACACGAGCCUGAGCUGAGAGGCGUCGGCACUGAGGAGGAAGCUGAAGCGCAGGAGGGUGAGGAUGACCUGAAUUUGCACCACUAAUAAUUGGACCUGUCCAGCCGACGCGGAGCCAGGUGACUCCCCACCCUUCCACUGUCGUCAGACCAUACGAGGAGCAUGGACAGACGAGGAGGCUCCGGGCUCUGCUGCCCACGCCGGGCUGGGCAUGGACUCCGGAAGGGUCUACUCACAGACGCUUUCCCUGAUAACCUAGAAGGAGAGCUAGCUUCAUCUAAUUCAGCGGGGGACCCUGGCCAAGUCACUUGACCUGUUUCUGGUGUUGACCCUCAGCAGCAUUCUUCACCUCUUGCAGACUGUUUCCUCCUCAGUCGUAGAAGGGCAUCUCCAAGGAGAAGCGUGUGGAGUCGAGGCACGUGCAGGAGUCGGAGGUCAGCCAGACUGGGCUUGGGCCCCGUGGCUGCCCCUGCUGAGGACCACAUGAGGCACGUCAUUUAAUCCGUCUGGCCCUCAGUCUCAUAAUUUGCAAAACUGGGACUCUAACAUCUAUUUUUCAGACAGUCUGAAG
rnacentral:lncRNA from 1 species